UUCCAAGCUUGAGGCGACAACCCGAGGAAACGUCGCCUCCAGCCGGCUGAAUCCUCCUCGCUGGACCGCCGCCGCCCAGUCCGUCUUCUCCAACCCCGACCAGCCGAGCCGCCCUCCCCCUCCUCCCUCGCGCCCGCGUACGCCUCGCAGCUGAGCCCCCUCCUCCCCGCGCCUGGACUCCGGCUUUGUUUCCCAGCGGCCAAUUUUCCCUUUCUCCUCUCCACCCUCUGGACUUAUUUCCUAGCGGCGACGACAAGGCGAGCAGCCACUGCCGGGUCUUUUGGCGGCCGACCACCUGGCCUUCGUCGGGCGCCGGCGGCGAACAUCCGACGGAUCUGCCGCACCGCCAGCAAGGAGGCCUCGCCAUCCCCUUCCGGAGCAGCAAGUUCAUUGUAGAUGAAUUGUGGAAAUGAGGAUCAAUAAGAGGUGGCUAGCGCAUGAGGAGACUUUCUAGGCCUUCUGCUUUUAGUGUUGCUUCCAUCAAAGAGGAAGACAUGUAUAUGUUGGAAAGGACCUAGUGUUGUGAGGCAACAGCAUGGAGUUUAAUAAAUCUGUAGCUUCUAAACUAGUAGAACUCUAAGUUAAUUUUGUAUUUGAUCUGCAAAACAAUUGGUUCUGUCAGAUUGAAUUGAUACCUCAUUGGUGCUUU